AGGUCUCCAUACCCCGUCUGGUAUGAGAGACCAAAAUCCCAGUAGGGUUCCCUACGGGCCCGGUCCGUCCACCAUCUCCCAAGAUAUCUAGUCAGGCUGACCACAUUAUACAAUUAUCAAUUUACAUAACCUUUUAUUCCCUUUUUCCUCAGUCAACAUCAUCAAAUCACACACAAACCAGCAAACCAGUAAUUUAUGUCAAACAAGACAACACACAACAUCGGGUUCUCAGUCAUUCAAUCCAUAAUUAAUAAAACAGUGAUAUAUGCACACGAAACUAUGAAAUGAGAACAUCAGACAUCAUAUUGCAUUUAAAACUGUAAAAUAGAACAAACAACAACUGACCGACAAAUACACCAGACUCGAGCUCUAUUAGCGACCUUAAACAAUUUCACACAUCUAUUGAUUCAUAAAAUACCGUUUUAUCAUUUAUUGAACUUUAAUAUCGUGAUAGGAAAUAGGGUGAGGGGUCCUUACUUGUUUCGGGGUCUGAAUACGGCUCUACAGUGCGUCUACAGACUGUCCCUAAUUUUCCCUAAAUUUUUCCCAAUGAACUGAA
rnacentral:lncRNA from 1 species